rnacentral:rRNA from 1 species
UACGUAGGGUGCGAGCGUUAAUCGGAAUUACUGGGCGUAAAGCGUGCGCAGGCGGUUCGCUGUGUCCGAUGUGAAAUCCCCGGGCUCAACCUGGGAACUGCAUUUGUGACUGCAUAGCUAGAGUACGGUAGAGGGGGAUGGAAUUCCGCGUGUAGCAGUGAAAUGCGUAGAUAUGCGGAGGAACGCCGAUGGCGAAGGCAAUCCCCUGGACCUGUACUGACGCUCAUGCACGAAAGCGUGGGGAGCAAACAGG